UCUUCUGAAAACCGGGCUGUCCGGGUCAAAACCAGACGGAUGUCAACCCUAUCCCAGCAUCCCACUCAGUUACUAGGUUAACUUAUCCUUCUUCAGCAUGCAACCUAGUGCUAAACUACAUCUCCCAGCAUCCCAUGUAACAGCUUCAGCAGUGGCGCUCCAUAGAGCUGCAGAUCCUUGGGGGAAGUCGAUCUCAGCAUGAAAGGGAGCGAUAAACAAACCACUGAGGUGACACCGAGCAAUUAAACAUGGAGAUACAGUAAACAUGUUAAACAUGAAGCUAA